ACUCGAGUGGCGAACGGGUGAGUAACACGUGGGUGAUCUGCCCUUCACUUCGGGAUAAGCCUGGGAAACUGGGUCUAAUACUGGAUAGGACCAUCGUUUAGUGUCGGUGGUGGAAAGUUUUUUCGGUGGAGGAUGAGCUCGCGGCCUAUCAGCUUGUUGGUGGGGUAAUGGCCUACCAAGGCGACGACGGGUAGCCGGCCUGAGAGGGUGGACGGCCACAUUGGGACUGAGACACGGCCCAG
rnacentral:rRNA from 1 species